GUUAUGAGAAUAUUUUCAGGCAUUUUAGAAUGAGAGGCUUCCAGAAAUGUUUGAAAGCUAUGCUGGGAAUGAAAGAAAAACCUCUGUUUCAAACUGCAUAUGGCGGGCACAUCAAUCAGAAAUAUUUAGCGUGAUUACGUGCAAGUAUUUAUUAAAAACAUGGGGCUUUAUUUUAAAGGAUUUCUGGGCUUAUUGUGCCUAAUGUCAGCAAAUGUUCGCCUGUCUAGCUCUACCUUUCAGGGAAAGGGCUCAAUGGUGGGCAUUUAGCAAGAUCUGUGCACCUACAUGCUGCAGAUGGUUUCGUUUUAUAAGAGAUGAAACUGCAUUUGGUGGAACUGAUUAAAUAUAAAAACACCACCAUCUGCCAUUUAUUCUAAUAUAAAAUGGUUUGGGCAGAUGCUGACAUCUUUCGAGAUGAUUGAUUCAUCCCUGACAAGAGAAGACGCUCAGGGGGUUCCAGCUGCCCACCGCUCAGACAAUACCAAUUUGCGGGCGCUGACGCCAGUCCCACCAGUUUGAUUUGGAUGUAGCAGCUUAGGCCUUCCCCGGCCUGUCCAGGAAUGGUGUCCAUUCUCAACUGUGAAUCCUGGAGAUUCCACCUCCGUCUAGUCUCCAGACAAUUCAACCCAGGACUGUUACUAGACUCCAUGGACUCUCUGAGGAAAUGCUGCUUCAGAUGCAGGAGGAAGGACCUCUGGUGCCAGCUGGUUUUGCAGCUAUGACCUCUAAUCACGUGCUUAAAAUCCAUCUGUCAAAGAACAUGGGGUUGCAUUACAAACAUCAAAAACUAUUUGAGUAUCCGUCACACACAAGGCCCUUGGGAAGAGUAAACGCACAGGAUUUGU